rnacentral:rRNA from 1 species
CAUAGGUUAAUGAGGCGAACCGGGGGAACUGAAACAUCUAAGUACCCCGAGGAAAAGAAAUCAACCGAGAUUCCCCCAGUAGCGGCGAGCGAACGGGGAGCAGCCCAGAGCCUGAAUCAGUGUGUGUGUUAGUGGAAGCGUCUGGAAAGGCGCGCGAUACAGGGUGACAGCCCCGUACACAAAAAUGCACAUGCUGUGAGCUCGAUGAGUAGGGCGGGACACGUGGUAUCCUGUCUGAAUAUGGGGGGACCAUCCUCCAAGGCUAAAUACUCCUGACUGACCGAUAGUGAACCAGUACCGUGAGGGAAAGGCGAAAAGAACCCCGGCGAGGGGAGUGAAAAAGAACCUGAAACCGUGUACGUACAAGCAGUGGGAGCACGCUUCGGCGUGUGACUGCGUACCUUUUGUAUAAUGGGUCAGCGACUUAUAUUCUGUAGCAAGGUUAACCGAAUAGGGGAGCCGAAGGGAAACCGAGUCUUAACUGGGCGUUAAGUUGCAGGGUAUAGACCCGAAACCCGGUGAUCUAGCCAUGGGCAGGUUGAAGGUUGGGUAACACUAACUGGAGGACCGAACCGACUAAUGUUGAAAAAUUAGCGGAUGACUUGUGGCUGGGGGUGAAAGGCCAAUCAAACCGGGAGAUAGCUGGUUCUCCCCGAAAGCUAUUUAGGUAGCGCCUCGUGAAUUCAUCUCCGGGGGUAGAGCACUGUUUCGGCAAGGGGGUCAUCCCGACUUACCAACCCGAUGCAAACUGCGAAUACCGGAGAAUGUUAUCACGGGAGACACACGGCGGGUGCUAACGUCCGUCGUGAAGAGGGAAACAACCCAGACCGCCAGCUAAGGUCCCAAAGUCAUGGUUAAGUGGGAAACGAUGUGGGAAGGCCCAGACAGCCAGGAUGUUGGCUUAGAAGCAGCCAUCAUUUAAAGAAAGCGUAAUAGCUCACUGGUCGAGUCGGCCUGCGCGGAAGAUGUAACGGGGCUAAACCAUGCACCGAAGCUGCGGCAGCGACGCUGAUGCGUUGUUGGGUAGGGGAGCGUUCUGUAAGCCUGUGAAGGUGUGCUGUGAGGCAUGCUGGAGGUAUCAGAAGUGCGAAUGCUGACAUAAGUAACGAUAAAGCGGGUGAAAAGCCCGCUCGCCGGAAGACCAAGGGUUCCUGUCCAACGUUAAUCGGGGCAGGGUGAGUCGACCCCUAAGGCGAGGCCGAAAGGCGUAGUCGAUGGGAAACAGGUUAAUAUUCCUGUACUUGGUGUUACUGCGAAGGGGGGACGGAGAAGGCUAUGUUGGCCGGGCGACGGUUGUCCCGGUUUAAGCGUGUAGGCUGGUUUUCCAGGCAAAUCCGGAAAAUCAAGGCUGAGGCGUGAUGACGAGGCACUACGGUGCUGAAGCAACAAAUGCCCUGCUUCCAGGAAAAGCCUCUAAGCAUCAGGUAACAUCAAAUCGUACCCCAAACCGACACAGGUGGUCAGGUAGAGAAUACCAAGGCGCUUGAGAGAACUCGGGUGAAGGAACUAGGCAAAAUGGUGCCGUAACUUCGGGAGAAGGCACGCUGAUAUGUAGGUGAAGUCCCUCGCGGAUGGAGCUGAAAUCAGUCGAAGAUACCAGCUGGCUGCAACUGUUUAUUAAAAACACAGCACUGUGCAAACACGAAAGUGGACGUAUACGGUGUGACGCCUGCCCGGUGCCGGAAGGUUAAUUGAUGGGGUCAGCGCAAGCGAAGCUCUUGAUCGAAGCCCCGGUAAACGGCGGCCGUAACUAUAACGGUCCUAAGGUAGCGAAAUUCCUUGUCGGGUAAGUUCCGACCUGCACGAAUGGCGUAAUGAUGGCCAGGCUGUCUCCACCCGAGACUCAGUGAAAUUGAACUCGCUGUGAAGAUGCAGUGUACCCGCGGCAAGACGGAAAGACCCCGUGAACCUUUACUAUAGCUUGACACUGAACAUUGAGCCUUGAUGUGUAGGAUAGGUGGGAGGCUUUGAAGUGUGGACGCCAGUCUGCAUGGAGCCGACCUUGAAAUACCACCCUUUAAUGUUUGAUGUUCUAACGUUGACCCGUAAUCCGGGUUGCGGACAGUGUCUGGUGGGUAGUUUGACUGGGGCGGUCUCCUCCUAAAGAGUAACGGAGGAGCACGAAGGUUGGCUAAUCCUGGUCGGACAUCAGGAGGUUAGUGCAAUGGCAUAAGCCAGCUUGACUGCGAGCGUGACGGCGCGAGCAGGUGCGAAAGCAGGUCAUAGUGAUCCGGUGGUUCUGAAUGGAAGGGCCAUCGCUCAACGGAUAAAAGGUACUCCGGGGAUAACAGGCUGAUACCGCCCAAGAGUUCAUAUCGACGGCGGUGUUUGGCACCUCGAUGUCGGCUCAUCACAUCCUGGGGCUGAAGUAGGUCCCAAGGGUAUGGCUGUUCGCCAUUUAAAGUGGUACGCGAGCUGGGUUUAGAACGUCGUGAGACAGUUCGGUCCCUAUCUGCCGUGGGCGCUGGAGAACUGAGGGGGGCUGCUCCUAGUACGAGAGGACCGGAGUGGACGCAUCACUGGUGUUCGGGUUGUCAUGCCAAUGGCACUGCCCGGUAGCUAAAUGCGGAAGAGAUAAGUGCUGAAAGCAUCUAAGCACGAAACUUGCCCCGAGAUGAGUUCUCCCUGACCCUUUAAGGGUCCUGAAGGAACGUUGAAGACGACGACGUUGAUAGGCCGGGUGUGUAAGCGCAGCGAUGCGUUGAGCUAACCGGUACUAAUGAACCGUGAGGCUUAACCUU